rnacentral:ncRNA from 2 species
UGCUCUGAAUAUCAAAUCGGUUCUGGUGAGGAACAGCCACCAGAGGUAACGGGGAAAGUUCGGUGUAAGUCCGGCACUGUCCCGCAACUGUGAAGGAGACAAGUUCUCCAAGUCAGGAUGCCCGCCGAUGCCCAAAUUUACUU